ACUCCUACGGGAGGCAGCAGUGGGGAAUAUUGGACAAUGGGCGAAAGCCUGAUCCAGCCAUGCCGCAUGAGUGAAGAAGGCCUUUGGGUUGUAAAGCUCUUUUAGUGAGGAAGAUAAUGACGGUACUCACAGAAGAAGUCCUGGCUAACUCCGUGCCAGCAGCCGCGGUAAUACGGAGAGGGCUAGCGUUAUUCGGAAUUAUUGGGCGUAAAGGGCGCGUAGGCUGGUUAAUAAGUUAAAAGUGAAAUCCCGAGGCUUAACCUUGGAAUUGCUUUUAAAACUAUUAAUCUAGAGAUUGAAAGAGGAUAGAGGAAUUCCUGAUGUAGAGGUAAAAUUCGUAAAUAUUAGGAGGAACACCAGUGGCGAAGGCGUCUAUCUGGUUCAAAUCUGACGCUGAAGCGCGAAGGCGUGGGGAGCAAACAGGAUUAGAAACCCUGGUAGUCC
rnacentral:rRNA from 1 species